UACGAAGGGGGGCUAGCGUUGCUCGGAAUCACUGGGCGUAAAGCGCACGUAGGCGGCUUUUUUAAGUCAGAGGUGAAAUCCUGGAGCUCAACUCCAGAACUGCCUUUUGAUACUGGAGAGCUUGAGUCCGGGAGAGGUGAGUGGAACUGCGAGUGUAGAGGUGAAAUUCGUAGAUAUUCGCAAGAACACCAGUGGCGAAGGCGGCUCACUGGCCCGGUACUGACGCUGAGGUGCGA
rnacentral:rRNA from 1 species